GUCAAAUCACUCUUCAUCUCAUCUCACAUCGCCUUACCCCAAUUCACUCCACUUCGUCGAUACCACCCAAAUUAUCGCAGCCACCUACAAUCCACCACCAUCACCACUUCCAUAUCAUAUCCACAGAUAUCACCACCUGCACAUCAUAUUCACAACUAUCACCACCACCUCCAUGGUCAACACACCUUCAUCUCAAAUUCACCAUAGGACUAUAAUAAAUCAACACCAUGUUAAGUUGUUUGGCUAUGACGCGUGCAAUAAAGAGAGAAGCAGAAGCACAACCAAAUACGCUCCUCCAGAAGUAAAAGUGGCGAUCGUCCACCAGACCACUACCAACUCUAGAGCUACCACCAUCGACAUCCAGAUCUACGUCAAAAUGGGCCUCCACCAUUGGCUAUAGAUCUUCUCGCAACAGAUCAAUAUGAAGUAGGAAAAAAAAAACCGAUCAUCUACAAGUCUGUUGAAGUUGUAAUUCGUUGUCUAUUGUGGACGUUUGACUUUGUAAUUCGAAGAAUUUAUAGCAGACAAUCCCUAUGUAUAUAUAAUCAUGCACUCAUGAACAGACAAUCCCUAAAACAUUCCACGAACAACGAUGGUGGUGGCUAAAUUAAUUUGUAUACAAACCUAGUGAUUUGGAUUUGGGGAAGAAAUGUAAUAAAUGAUAUAUGGAAUGGGGUGGUGUAGUGUGGGAUGUUUUCCUUAUUUUUGAAAUUGAAACUUAAGAAGUAAAGAUUGAGGUAAUUUUUCGGCGAUUUAGAAGACAUAAC
rnacentral:lncRNA from 1 species